rnacentral:pre_miRNA from 1 species
CAAUUAAGGAACUUGGCAAGAUGUCGGAAUAGCUGAUUGUGUGUUAAGUUUUCAAAUUUCACGGCUAUGCCUCAUCUAGUCAAUUGCUUUA